UAUUGCGAUUGACCUUUAUUCGAUCUUCUCUCUCAAACCCAAACCUACAUCGAUUGAUCCGUAGACAUUCUUCACCCCUUUGAUUUCAAUUGCAUUGAAGAAGGAACAAUUGAAGCUGAUUUAAUCACUUCUCCAAUGGUGGUGGUGAUAGGAUUCAUUGAGUUUUAUUUCUCUGAAGGAUGGAGAAGCAGGCGAGAGAGUAUUAAUGGAGAUUCUAAGAGUGCGAUGCACUGUUCCAAAGGACAUCGUACAAUUUGAUAUGGCCAUUUUCUCUUCUACAGAGUCGGAGGAGCUCUAUCGCCUUAUCAAUUCGAAUGUUAAGCAUUUUUAGCACCUAUAAUGCGGUAAACUAGCCUUUUCGUAUCUCCGUACAUUUAUUGUUGAUACGAUUCGAUUGUGACUCGCUAUUAUAAUUGGGUAUAGAAAAAAAAUAAUUCAAAAUCAGCUGCUCAUAAUAUAACUGAAGACCGCCUUCAAGAAGAAAAUGUAAAAAGAUAAUUUAUUAGCUAUAUAAAUUUGAGAGGAUAAUGGGUUUACAAAAGAUUCCUUUUUUUAUUAUGAUCCAUUGUAAUUGUUCUAAGUUUAAUAUUUGGGUAACUGAUAUCAAAGCACAUUAAGCGAAGCCUUGUACAAGCUAUUGUCGAAAAGGAGCCCUAUGAGGGAAUAGUUUUGUAUUUGGAAAAAGUGACCCACAAAGUUUAUUUCAACAUAGAGAUCGAGGAAAAGCCCAUUGGUUGCAUAAUUAUGGGUAUUUUUGGAGAAGCAGUUCCUAAAACCAUUGGUAGGCUUUUCUUUUUUUUUUUUGAAGGGACCAUUGGUGGGCUUCUAAAUACAAUUUAAGUAGUAUAUUUCUUAACAUUGUUGUAAUCAAAUUGUUCAUUGUUCUGUACAUAGUCACUAAUUUUAUACUAUUGGUUUUUCUUAUUGUUCUUCUUAUUAUGAUAGAAUUGAUCAUUGAAUAUCUUUUCUCACAUUAAUUUGAUUGAACUAAAAUACUUAUCUUUCAUUGUACGCAUUUAAUCUUGAUUCAUACUGCUCUCAAACUAUGCAAUUUUUUUUUUAAAUUAAAAUUACAUGUAUAUGUUUAUCCAAAUGAGAUAUCCUCUUUUAAAAUUGAAACGAAAUAGGGACCCUUCCGUCUGGUUGGUUCUCCUAUUCACUGUUUUAGGGGUGAGUGGUUGCUUUACCAAUCACGCUUUCUCUAAAACUAUUGUAGUUAAUGGAGCAUGAUCGGGACCUUUUUGGCUUCAAGCAGAUAAAUUUAAAUUACCUUUCUCGUUAUUAUAUUCAUAAAAGCUAAACAAUAUAUAUAGUUGGUCUUCACCCAUUAUUAUUAAUGGUGUUGCCACUUUAAAUAGAUGUGAGUAAGGAAUUAGAAAAGUAAUCCUUCAAAUCAUUGUAUUAAUUGAUCGAUUCUUGUAACUUUUGAUCUUUUUCUGUUUAAAAUCUUGCAUGGAAUGAUACAAUCUACAAAGCAGAGCUUGAAUUGUCUUCUUGGAGCACCAGAGUAUUAUCAAGAUCUGAACCUGGAUCUCUUUCUAUGAUUCUUUAGCGCUGAAACUCCUUCUUGCUGAAAGUCUUUCUUCACGAUCUUCCUCACUAUGAUUGAGGUAUCACUUGUUGUGUGUGGGCACUACUCUAAUCACUAAGUAUUUCGAAAUCUUAAGGAAGAAAAGAGAGAGGGAGUGGACGGCCAGAUAGAGAGAGAGAGGCUCAGGUUUUUCUGAAUGAAAAGUGUAAUUUUCCUGAAGCCUUCACUAUCUAUUUAUAGCAUUCCACUAGGGUUAGGUUUGAAUUAUUUGGCAUUAAAAUAAUGAAAAUAUCAGAGGAUAAUUCCUAUAAAAGUGGCCAGCCAUGGCAGUAUGGAUUUGGGCCUCACUUUUUGCAAUUUUGCAGUUUUAUCACUUUUGCAUCUGAUUUUCUCAAAAAACGCCAAUUUUCUAAUUCAACCAUUUAAAUGCCAAUUCUAACUAUUUAAUAACUAUAAAUAAUUAUUAAAUAAUAUUGUCAUUUAUCAUAUUUAUUAAUUGAACCAUAC